UUAUUGUUUACAAAACUAGGAGCAAGGAAAUCGUAAAAUUGGGAAAAAGAAAAGGAGGGAUAUGUACGAUGAUGAUUUUGAUCAUGAUGACCUUGACAUCCUACCCCCCAAACUGCCAUUACCACUAAAGGAGUUGUGCCAAUGGGCCAAUACAUUCUUGAAGAAUGGGGUCACCAUCCAUACCAAGUUGGGCGAGGAAAUUUUCGGCCGCCCAAGAAAGGUAGCUAUCUUUAGAAGAGAUGUGUAUGCCAUGGCGCACAUGAAGGAGAUAUCUAACAACAUCAUUGAGAUGUAUAUGAGUUGCCUUUAUCAAAAGUUGCAGAAAUUUAAGAUGCUACACAUGAUUGCCUUCAUAGACCCUGCUCAGACAGGCGCGCUUGGGUGUGGGAAUCCAACAGAAAUGGCUCGUUCUCUAUCAGCUUGUUAUGCAAAAGGAAAGUCGGGUCAGAUUUUUUUGGUGUCCUAUAACUCAGGUUGUCAUUGAAUGUUAACGGCUGUGAACCCCGCUGAAGAAGUUGUGCAUUUCAUGGAUCCAUUAAAGAGACGACUCAUCACUGGUGAAUGAAAAACUAUUGUGGACAACUCAAUCAAAAUAUACAAUGCGUAAAAAACUAAGAAAGGCAGAAAAAUAGUUACAUGGAAAAAUUGUGUG